CCGGUGUCGACUUACUAGCUGCAAGCCUCUGCCUGCCUUCCUGCGCGCCGUUCCCCGCUAGUCGCUGCUGCUGGCGCGCACUCGCCGGGUUUUUCCUCCCACGGCCUCGAGAUGGUGGUGAAUGUGGCACGGAGGAGCCGGGCCUUCCAACCCGGUGGGCCCGAGCUCCGAAAGGCCCCCUCGGCAGUGAGAGGGGCGGGAGCCCGCGGGGGCCGCGCCCUUCUCUCGCUUCGGACUGCGCAACGCUGCGCUCUGGGCUGACAGGCGGAUAAAACGGUCCCAUCAAGACUGAGAAAAAGCACACCAGCUAUUGGCACAGCGUGGGCAGUGGGGCCUACAGGAUGACUGACUUAGUCUACAGAGAUCCCGGCGUACUUAAGCAGAUGAAGACUCUUAAGAUGACAGAAGGUGAUUUUUCUGGUGAUCGAGGACUUCCGGGGUAAUGACAGUGAUGAAAUGCAGGGGACCUGGUUGCCCCCAAGUUUCCUGGCAGUGUGUGAUACUGAGGAGGUGAGCUUGUUUCUGGAGCUGUGCUUUAAGGUAAAGUUGAUCAGCUUAAUCCUCCUGAUCCCUUUCCCAUCGGAUCUGAACACUGGUCUUGGUGGUCGUAAAAGGAGGAAAAGUAAUAGUGAAGCUGGCCUAAAUGUUGUAAUCUGGUAUAUGGCAUGUGGGCUAGUUUCAGACAGGUUUCAGAGAUGGUUGGAUCUCUGAAAUUGUAAAAUGAAGUAUAAUCUUAGGCUAAGGGAAGGAUGCGUGUGAAGCUCUGGAGAUUCAUGUUACAUGUAAAGCUGUCCUCAUUUGUGACUAUGGACCUAUGGAGUUGGGACAAUCUCUAUGGGAAGCAGAAGGCAAGGACCCCGGUCAUUUUAGGUAGAAACAACAGCAUGCUAAUGCAAAAAAUUAUGCAGUGUGCUACUGAACUUCAGAGGUGAUCAAUAAAAGAAGAAUAAAA
rnacentral:lncRNA from 1 species